rnacentral:misc_RNA from 1 species
GAGAUGAUUCCACAAUGUUCAAUGUAUAUUUUCAUGUACAUUGUUCUUAGGUGAGGCUAUAAGAGGAUCAAAUGUAAUAAAAGAGAAAGGGGAGUCUUCGCCUUCAUGGCUUGGUUCAAUUUUUAAGGUUGUCAAAUCUAUGACUUAGGUCACAGGUUUGAUCCUCGCACAAUGCAGACUAGACCUGGUAUUUAAGUAUAGAAGGAUAAACGGGCAGACAUACUCU